UUAGUAAUACAUAUUAAAACCAUCAAAAAUAAUUAAGCGGCCUUAUUACAUUUAAAAACCCAAAACUUCAAAUGUAAAUAAAAGGAUGUCCAGUUCACCAGAAGAAAAUCAAACUUUCAGAACGGGUGGCCACUCCGAAUUCCCUCACAGCUCCAAGCCCACUAUGGUUGGGGAUUUCCUGCGUGGAUGAAAAUAAAAGGGGUGAGUUUGGGGAAACUCAGUGUGUAAGGAAAACCCAUUCAAAGCCCAAGUCAGCUCAAGCCUAUUGGGCCUAAGCCCAUUCAGGCAACAGUGGUACUGGGCCAGAGCCCUUUUUAGAUUACAAUAAACUGGGCCUUAGCCCCUUAUUCAGAUAACAGUAUGGCCCAUAGGCCCAUUUCAAAAUACAUGCAACAUCAGUAAACAUAUGCAAGCCCAUUUGGGGAGACUACUCAACCCACCAACCACUACACUCCACCCGUACCAGCCAUACACUCCAUGUCGGGAAUAGCUCAACCCACCCAGCCCAACACUCCACAGUUGCAGCCUUGCUGCUCAGUUAACAGUAAAUUGAGGCAAAGCCUCUAGUACGUGGACAAGCCACUUUUAGUACUUCCUCCAUCAAUAUCCCAGUCCCAUGCAUCAGAUAAUAACAACAUGGCAUGCAGUAAAUAACAACAGUCAAACAUGCAUUUAGGUCAAUUUAACCCUAGGGGUAUUUCGGUAAUUUAUCUCUUAGGGGUAAAACUGUAAAUUUUCCACUUUUAAAGGUAUUUCAGUAAUUUAUCUGUUUUGGGGUUUUUCAUGCAUAUUCCUACUUUUCACGUACUAACAGAAUCACGUAUCGAGGGUUCUUACCGAAUUGGGCCCGUUGGCCCAUCAUUCCAAUUUUGGCCCAUUAAGCCCAAAAAUAUCGAGGGCACAGAAAUCAUGCACUUUGCAGUCCAAACAUUGCAGCUUACCAAAAAUAGUAAUCGAUUUACCUCACGAGCAUUCGCACACUUGCAAAUCUACAAAAUAUCGGUUUUCAGCAUUUCGGCUUUUCGGCUUUUGCCAAUCUAGACUAAGAAAGAGGGUGUUAGUUACACACCUGUUUGCGACGAUAUGCUGACGAGAUCCACACACGAACCGCCUACAAUUGGAUUACUAACAAGUUAAUCUAACUAUUCAAAUACAAACUACGUAUUAACCCCUUACAAUAUUCGGCCAACCACACCUACAGAUCAUAGUAAGCUUAUAAGAAAUCAAUAAGCAACUCAUUAACAAAUUUUUGUCAAUGUUUACCACAUAAUCAUAAUUUCACUGCAAGCUGUCUUCCUGAGCAACAGUCACUAAAUUAUUUAUAACUGGAGCUACGAAACUCCAAAUCAAGUUCCGUUAAUUUUCCCUGAAAAUAGACUCAUAUAUCUUCUAUCCAUAAAAUUUUAAGAAUUUUUGGUUUAGCCAAUCAAUACCGGAUUUUUCUCAAAGUUUCCCAUGUUUCACUGUUUGACUAAUCUGACCACUCUUCAUUACGAAUCAAAUUUCUCAUUUUACAGAAUUCAAAAUAUGUUCUCGUUUAUUUCAUUUGAAACUAGACUCAUUAAGCUUUAAUUACAUAAUUUAUUCAGCUCCUAAUUCAUCUCCCACAAUUUAUGGUGAUUUUCCAAAAUCAUGUUACUGCUGCUGUCCCAAGCAGAUUUAUUACCAAAUCACUCUUUCACACACCUAUCUUGCAUGCUUGUUAUUUAAACAUGUAUAUCACCAAUCAAUCAUCACAUAUCUAUGAUUUUACUUAAGUAUAAUCUCCAUUUCAUCAUUUUAAAGCACAACAUGUUAGCCGAUUUUUCCCUUUAGCAUCUAAGGCACAUGCAUGCUCAUUUGUUUGGCUCAACUUCACCUAUCUUCUAUUUUUCAUCAAAAGAACAUGAAACAACAACCAUUUCCUUCAUUUUAAUUCAUGACUAAAUGCUCACAACACAACUAAAAACCAAAAUAUGCUUCAAGAGUUAAGGUAGAAUCAAGAAGAACUCAUGAACCUCAAAAUAGAAGCAAGGUACCAAGAACUUACCUUCAAUUUUCCUCCUCCUAAUGAUCGAAUACUCAAGAGCUUUCUCCUCUCCUUUCUCUUCUCUAACUUUUAGCUAUGAUGAACAAAGAUGGACAAAACUUUGUUCUUUUCACCCCUUUUUCUUUUAAUAAAACUUCAUAUUUCAUCCAUUUAAUUCUUUAAUACAAAAGACAUGAAAUUCUUAUCAUGAAACAUUUACCUAACCCAUUAUCAUGAAACAUUUACCUAACCCAUUAUCAUGGAACAUUUACCUAACCUAUUAUCAUGGAACAUUUACCUAACCUAUUAUCAAUUUGUAUCAAUUUGUACCAUAAAUUAUGGAUAUCAAGUGUACAUUUUGUCUACAACAACAUGAUGGCUGGCCACUUCAUGUAAAAUGGGAGGUUUUUCAUGCAAAUCCUCCUAUUUUGCACUCCUAUUUAUUUGGCCACUUCAAUUUAGCCUAUAGCAUUUUCAAACAUUUUCACAUAGAGUUUAUUUCAUAAUUUCACCCCCUUUUUGUUAUGGAACAAAAAUUAACUAAAAUUGUCGGGUUCUAUCUUAAGUUUGGGCUUUCUAGAGGCCCACUAACAUAAUUAAACCUAUGCCAACAUUCACAGGAUUCCUGAAAAUUGGGGCAUUACAACUCUACCCUCCUUAAAGAAAUUUCGACCUCGAAAUUUACCCAAUCCAAACAGAUGAGGGUAUUGCUGUUGCAUCGUCUCUUCUGGCUCCCAAACUCAGAAGUUUCCCCUUCCUUAACUUGUUGAAAACGAGCGACCAAAGACUCAUCGUUCAUCUAUUUUUCCUUAAUGUGAUCCACCCAAGUUGGCCUCACUUACAACUCAGCCAACAGACUUCCAUCAUCAUACAGAUUCAGACGAGCAAACAUUGCUCUCAGAUCAGAUACAGCUCUACGACUUAGAGCAUCGGCUACCACAUUAGCCUUGCUUGGGUGAUACUCGAUUGAACAGUCAUAAUCCUUAAGCAACUCAAUCCAUCUCCUUUGCCUAAGGUUCAGCUCCUUCUGAGUCAACAAAUACUUAAGACUCUUAUGGUCAGUGUAUAUAAUACACCUUUCUCAAUAUAAGUAAUGUCUCCAAAUCUUAAGUGCAAAUAUCACUGCUGCCAACUCUAAAUCAUGAGUCAAAUAGUUUGCCUCAUGAGGCUUAAGCUAUCGUGAUGCAUAUGCAACCACCUUACCCUCUUGCAUUAACACGCAGCCCAAACCCACGUGUGAUGCGUCACUGUACACAGUAAAAUCAUUCCCAGACUCUGGCUGAGUUAACACAGGUGCUUUAAUCAGAACUUUCUUCAACUUCUCAAAAGCUUCAUGUUGCUUCUCAGUCCAUACAAACGGUACUCCUUUCCUUAUGAGUUUUGUCAGGGGUGUUGCCAUAACAGAAAAAAUCCUUUUACGAACCUUCGGUAAUAGCCUGCCAAACCUAGAAAACUCCGAAUUUCCGAUACUGAUUUUGGUGGCUUCCAUCCCAGAACUGCCUCAACUUUUCGAGGAUCCACUCUAAUUCCUUCAGCAGAAACCACAUGACCUACAAAAGCCACUUCUCGCAACCAAAAUUCACACUUACUAAACUUUGCAUAUAGUUCCUUCUCUCUCAGCACUUGCAGCACAAUACGUAGAUGCUCCUCAUGUUUCGUUUCAGUUUCAGAAUAUACCAGGAUAUCGUCAAUAAAGACGACUACGAACUGAUCCAAAAAUGGUUGGAACACAUGAUUCAUCAGAUCCAUAAACGCUGCAGGAGCGUUCGUCAAUCCAAAUGGAAUAACCAGAAACUCGUAAUGACCAUACCGAGUCCUAAAUGCUGUCUUAUGGAUAUCUGCCUCCUUGACCCUUAACUGAUGAUAUCCAGAUCGAAGGUCGAUCUUGGAAAAUAUAGAAGCUCCUCUAAGCUAGUCAAAUAGAUCGUCAAUCCUUGGCAGUGGAUACUUAUUCUUAAUCAUCAGUUUGUUCAACUGGUAAUAAUCAAUGUACAUCCGCAUCGUACCAUCCUUCUGUUUCACGAAUAGCACUGGUGCUCCCCAUGGAGACACGCUUGGCCUAAUGAAGCCCCUAUCCAACAACUCUUGAAUUUGUGCCUUUAGCUCCACCAACUCCUUCGGUGCCAUUCUAUACGGUGCGAUAGACACUGGUGCCGUUCCAGGCAAUAAGUCGAUUCCAAACUCCACUUCUCGGUUCGGAGGCAAUCUUGGAAGCUCCUCCAGAAAAACAUCUUGGAACUCCUUUAUAGUCCUAACCUUAUCCACUGUCAGUCCCUCCUCUUCCGACUGACUUACAAAUGCCAAAUAGGCCUCACAACCUUUCCGAAUCCACUUCUCGGCUCUUAAUGCCGACACCACAUUGGACAAAUAAUCCCUUCGCUCACCUAUCACCAUAACCUCCUCAUCCUUUGUGGUCCUUAACACCAUUCAUUUAGCAGAACAAUCCAGGGUCGCCUUAUGCACAUUGCCUGUGACAAGGCAUCAUCUUUGGCACCGCGAUCAUGAGACUCUACCUCUGUUGCCGGUGGUAUCGGUGCAUCCACCACCGGCAUAUGUCUCGAAGACGAAGAUCUCGCUCGAGCACUUUCUCGGCUCCAUCCAUGGCCUCUUGUACUCAUAUUGUAUUAUCUCGAUUACGAAUUUUUAUGCAUCAAUUAAUAUUCCAGUGUUUAUUACAGAUGUUUUAUGAAUCAGACAGUAGUUCAGAGUUUGUUUUGGCAGAAUCGAAGUCUAGCUACAGUUUCAGUCUCUUAUCAGAUUUUCCUAUGGUUUCAGUAUCAUCCUAUCUAGAGUAUCCUAAUAGGGUUUUAGUACAGACAGAUAUUUCAGGAAAAUAUUCAGAAAAGUUCAGAGUAAUACUUACAGGCUUGGGCCGGAGAUUCGGAAUGCCACUUUCCAAAGAUCUAAAUUUUAAAAAUCGAGUUUUUCGCAUUCUUUAUAAAAUUUUCGCUUUCGAAAUUUUUUUUUGUAAACUCAUUCCACAGCCGAGUUGUUGCAACCUAGGCUCUGAUACCACUAAAUAUAACACCCCAAACCCGGCCCAGAAGUUAUGGCCGGAUCCGGCAUGCCACAUCAAAAACGUUUAAAAAAAUUUUCCAUUCUAAGCCCAGAAAAUCGUACUUGAUGUUCAAAAGAUUAAUUCAUUAAGGAUUAAAGUGAAUGGAAGCUGUGACAGCCCUAAAUUGACCCUAGUCGGGAAGUGGUUUUAGAACCGCUAAACUGAGUCACCGAAGUAUUUGAAUGUGAUAUUUAUUGUCUAGAAUAUGUGAAUAUGAAUGUGUGAAAGUUUUAAGCUUCGAUUUAGUCGAUUGCAUGUGAAUUUAGUUAAUAGGACUUAUGUGAGAAAAUUUAGAAAUGUGCUAGGCAAAUGUAAGUGGCCUAUUAAUGCAUGUUAUAAAGAUGAUGGGUUUGCAUGUCAAAUUACCCAAAAUUUGAACUAGUGGCCGGCCAUGCUAUGGGUUAAAAGGUAUUAUAAACAUUUAUGUUAGUGUUUUAUGUUAGGAAUAAUAAAAUAAGGAGCAUGGGUGAUGAAAAAAAAGAGAAAAAAAAAAGUUCUCAUUUUGCUCUUAUUGACUGAAAAAUCAAAAGAAAGAAAGGAAGAAAGGUUGAAGAGGUUCGGCCAUACUUGUAACUAGGUUGAGGUAUGUUUGAUGUUAUUCCAUGAAAUUCAUGCAUAUUUUUAGUUGUUAGAUUGAAUUCUACCUAGCCCAUGGUUUAAAUCUUUGCUAUGUGAUGGAGAUGAUACUCGGCCAUGGAUGUUGUCCUUCUUGGUUGGUGUUUGAUGUUGUGUUGAUGAGGUAUGAAGAUGAUAGAGUUUGAGUGCUCAACAAAAAGGAUUGGAUGUGAGUGUGUGUGAGAAUUUGAAAAAGGUAGGUCUUAGCAACUUCAUGAAGCAUUCGGCCAUGGUAGGAAGUAGAAGAGAAAUAUAGUUGUUGUUCAUGUUAGAUGAAGUAGAGUCUAACAAAUGAGCACAUAUGUGCAUUAGUUGCUAGAUGGAGAAAAAUCGGCUAGCAAGUUGUGUACUAAGGCCGAAUGUGACUUUGAAUAUUAUUGAGUAAUGUAUGUGUUUUGAAAUGAUGGAAUGGAGAGGAUGCUUUAAUUGUGUUAUGAACAAUUAUAUGUUAAAUUAAGGGUUGCUAAGCUAGCUAUUAAGGUGAAGUGCAAAUGUUAGUAUUUGAGUACUAGUGUAUAUAUGUGUUUUAGCCGAGCUUUGAACUUGAAACAAAAUGGUAAUUAGUCAAUACAAGUGACCAUAUUUGUAGACUGUAUUAAGUAUACAAUCGGCCUCAACAUAGACAUGCAUAUUCGGCCACAUGAAUGAAUACAUAGAUUGAUGUUGUACGUUCGCCUCUAGGUAAGCAUAUUGAUGGCUUUAUCUUGACUUAGAAAAUCGGCUAAAGGAGAAUAUUGGCUAAUAUGUUGAAUUUGAUUCAUGAUUUCAUACACAUAUGACUCUAAUGCCUAAUAUACAUGGGCUAAGUAGCUUGAGUUUCUCUUUGAUGUUCAAAAUGAUUAAAUCAAUUUAUUUGUUAAAUUAAGCUCAAGAACAAAGGGGAACUAAAUCCGAUAAAGGAAAGGAAAAGGUGAUCGAAUAGCCGUUGAAAUCGUUCGACAACAUCCGAGGUAAGUUUUCGAGUAAUGGAACUUAGAUUAUGAUUCGAUUAGAUCAUGUUAUAAGCAAAUCAAAAUCAUGCUCUUUGUAUGUAGCUAUUGAGCCGAAAAUGAUAAUGCUUGAUAAGUGACUUGUGUUUGAAUUCUAGUUAUGAAAUUGAAAUAUAGAUGUGUCAUGAUUUAUUGAUAUGUGCAUGAAUAUGCAUGAAUAUUCGGAUGAUAACCGGGCCAAGUCCCGAAGGCAUUUGUGCUAGUGACUAAUUCCGGGCUAAGCCCCGAAGGCAUUUGUGCUAGUGACUAAUUUCGGGCUAAGCCCCGAAGGCAUUUGUGUGAGUUACUAUAUCCGGGCUAAGUCCCGAAGGCAUUUGUGCGAGUUACUAUAACCGGGCUAAGUCUCGAAGGCAUUUGAGCGAGUAGCUAUAUCCGGCUAAAUCCCGAAGGUACUUGGUUUGGGAAUGAGCAAUCUUGCUGUAAUAAUUUCAAUUAAUACGCUCGUAAAAUCCCAACGAUGAGGUAUGUUUCGUAUAUGCAUUGGAAUAGUUGAUUCCUUUUAAAUAGUAUUCGCUCAGUCGAUUAAUAAGCUUCCGGCCUUUGGUUAAGUUGAUCCCUUAUGUAUGAAUAUAAGGGUUGGAAAUGUGAAGUAGGUAUGAUUUUGAGAAUAUGUGUAUAUGAAAUUAUCCGUUUAGUCAUAUGAAUGCUAUACUUCAGUUGUGCCUAAUUUCAUUGCUCAAAACUUAUUAAGCAUUAAAUGCUGAUUCCAUUUCUUUGAUUCUCUGUUUUAUAGAUUUUGGUUCGUCAGCUAUCGGACUCAGGAGUGUCAAAGUCGAAGUCACCCACACUAUCAAAGCCCUUUUGGUACUUCUUUAGUUGAACUCUAAUAAUGGCAUGUAUAGGGCUGCCCUUUUGUUGUUAGUCAAGUACUUUUGUAUUGUAUAUAUUUGGAUAGCCAUGCGAAAAUGGCUUAUAUAUUUUGAGCAUAGCGUUAUAAUCAUUUUGUAUAUAUAUGGUUAUUGAGAGGUGUGGAAAUGCUUGGCAAUGAUUAGCCAUUGGAAUGGUGAAUUACGAUCAUAUUUUUGUGCUAUGUAUGUUAAAGGGCUAGUUGAAUCAUGGAAAUUAUGAAAUAGGUAAAGUCUACCUUAAAAACAGAUACCGACAGCAGCAGUGAUGUGAAUAUGAAAAAUCACUAAAAAUAGUAGAAAUAGAUUUAAAUUGUGAAUAAAUUAUGUAAUCGAACCUUGAUGAAUCUAUUUUCAUAUUAAAGUAACGAAACAAUCAUAUGAGCCGUAUUUUAUGCGAUGUUUAAGUUUUCGUGAAAUAGGACCAGAGUGAAUUCUGGAUUCCCUGUUCUGACUUUGGAAGAUCAUUAUAAAUUAACCAGAGAUAAUUAUAAGUCAUACCAUAUAUGUAUAGAUUCCUUUUCGAGUCUAGUUUCUUCAUAAACAAACGGAAUAAGUAUUGAAGCCCUGUACAGGGAGAUAUCUAAGUCGUAAUGCAUGAAGGUCAGAUUAGUCGAACCCUGAAAUUGGGGAGAAUUUAAAUAAUAAACUGUACUAAUUGGCUUGACCAAAAAUUCUAGAAAAAUAUUUGUAGAUGUACAGAACUGGUUUUCGAGUUUUGGAACUUGAGAUAUGAUUUUUAAGGUGACAGUGACGCAGUUAGCCAGCUUGUCUGGAAAUUUUAAAAUGGACUGUGUAAAUAAAUGAAUUAAGUCUGUUUGCACCUCGUGUUCGACUCCGGAAACGGUCUCGGGGACGGGGUGUUACAAUUUUAUUGGUAUCAGAGCUACGGCUUAGUCGAUUCUAGGACUACCGUAAUACGUUUGGGUCUAGCUAUACAUGCCAUUAUGUGAUUAUUUGAUAGUGUGGUGAUUUCUGACAAUUGAAAAUGUGUUUAUUUAUAGUAAUGGAUCCUGAUCCCAACCGAGCGGUAGCUGAUGAUCUUGAGAGUGUAGCGCCUGCUCCCGCACAAGGGACAGUGCCGGCGGACUCUCAACCUAUUGCUAGUAAUCCGAAUGAUGAAGCUAGACAAGCUUUUUAUAGCGUGAUGAAUGAUUGGUUCAACCAAUACAUUCGAACUAAUACGGCUGUUCCACAACCCCCAUUCCCGACUAAUACAACCCCCGCACCUACAAUACCUCCGGUAACUGACCAAAUAAGGUCAAAUAAGCCCUCAGUUGACAGAAUCCGAAAACACGGGGCUACUAAAUUUAAAGCUACGGACAGCGAUGAUGCCGAGCAAGCUGAAUUUUGGUUGGACAACACUAUUCGGGUACUCGAUGAGCUAUCUUGCACACCCGAUGAGUGCCUAAAGUGUACUAUCUCCUUGCUACGUGAUUCUGCCUACUAUUGGUGGAAUACGUUGAUUUUUGUCGUGCCCAGAGAGCAAGUAACUUGGGAUUUUUUCCAAACUGAGUUUCGAAAAAAGUAUAUCAGUCAGAGAUUCAUUGAUCAAAAAUGGAAAGAAUUUCUUAAACUUAAACAGGGUUCCAUGUCGGUUACCGACUAUGAACGAAUGUUUGUAAGGCUCAGCCGGUACGCGUGAGAAUGCAUUUCUUCAGAAACUGUGAUGUGUAAACGUUUCGAAGAUGGACUGAACGAUGAUAUAAAGCUAUAUGUUGGCAUUUUAGAAAUCUGAGAAUUUGUGGUACUUGUCGAGCGAGCUUGCAAAGCCGAGGAGCUCAGUAUGGAGAAAAGAAAAGCUGAUAUGGGAGCAAAGGAGCUUCGUAAGAGGUCUUCGGGGAGGCCUUUUCAACAGUUAUCGAAGAAAUUUAGAGAUGGUUUAGGCCGAUCUAGAGACACUUCAGGCUUUUCUAGACGAGAUCGUGAUCGACCCCCUGUGAGUGCACGAGUCACUUCGGUCGCCAGUGUUGGAAAUGAUCGUCGAGACAGAACGAAGUGUCAGUAUUGUGGUAAAUGGCAUUUGGGGAGUUGUAGAUUCCAUGACCGCUCCUGUUACAAGUGCGGAUCAGCUGACCACUUUAUUAAAGAUUGCCCGAGAUUGUCUGAACAGAAUGUAAAUCAGAGUGGGAAACCUGGUGCUACUACUACUCGGGGUAGACCAUCUAGAAAUACGGGCAAUGCUAGUGGCGGUUAGAGAGGAUCUAGAGAUGCUACAACCAGAUCUGAGGCUCGUGCUCCUGCUAGAGCUUAUGCUAUACGUGCACGCGAGGAUGCUUCCUCGCCAGAUGUUAUUACCGGUACUUUUACUCUCUUUGAUACUAAUGUGAUUGCUUUGAUUGACCCUGGUUCUAGUCAUUCUUAUAUAUGUGAAACCUUAGCAUCCAGUAAGACUUUACCUGUUGAGUCUACUGAGUUCGUAAUUCGGGUGUCAAAUCCCUUGGGUCGUUACGUGCUUGUCGACAAAGUGUGUAAGAAAUUUCCCCUAGUAAUCCGAGGUUCCUAUUUUCCGGCCGAUUUGAUGCUUUUACCGUUUGAUGAAUUUGAUGUUAUCCUCGGUAUGGAUUGGAUGACCGUACAUGAUGCAAUUGUGAAUUGCAAAAGAAAAACCAUCGAUUUGAGGUGUGUAAAUAACGAGAUAAUCCGAGUUGAGUCUACUGACUUAAAUAGGUUGCCAGCUGUAAUAUCAUCGAUGUUGGCUUAGAAAUAUGUAAGAAAGGGGUGUGAAGCAUACCUUGCAUAUGUACUUGAUGACAAAGGGUUAGAAAAGAAGCCUGAAUCUGUGCCGGUGGUUUGUGAAUAUCUGGAUGUUUUUCCCGAAGAAUUACCGGGUUUACCACCUGUUCGGGAGGUAGAGUUUGGCAUCAAGCUUGUACCUGGGACUACACCGAUUUCGAUAGCUCCGUAUCGUAUGGCACCAAUAGAAUUAAAGGAAUUGAAAGCUCAGUUGCAAGAGUUGAUGGAUAGAGGUUUCGCUCGACCAAGUUUCUCACAUUGGGGUGCACCAGUAUUGUUUGUGAAAAAGAAGGACGGAACCAUGAGGUUGUGCAUCGACUAUCGUCAGCUGAAUAAGGUGAAAAUAAAGAAUAAAUAUCUGAUACCGUGCAUUGACGAUUUAUUUGAUCAACUAAAGGGAGCCUCAGUGUUUUCAAAGAUAGAUUUGAGAUCGGGUUAUUAUCAGUUGCGAAUCCGAGAUUCGGAUAUACCCAAAACUACUUUCAGAAUGAGAUACGGUCACUACGAAUUCUUAGUGAUACCGUUUGGGCUCACUAAUACCCCCGCGGUAUUUAUGGAUUUGAUGAAUUGGAUCUUCAGACAGUAUUUGGACCGGUUUGUAGUUGUGUUUAUUGAUGAAAUCUUAGCCUAUUCAAGACAUGAGACGGAACAUGCUGAGCACCUGAGAUUAGUGUUGCGGAUUUUACGGGAUAAGCAGUUAUAUGCUAAGUUCAGUAAGUGUGAGUUCUGGUUAAGAGAGGUUAGCUUCUUGGGUCAUGUGGUAUCUGCAUCGGGCAUCCGAGUUGAUCCGAGCAAAAUUUCAGCCAUACUUAACUGGAAGCCUCUGAGAAAUAUUACUGAGGUUCGGAGCUUUUUGGGACUUGCCAGUUACUACAGACGGUUUGUAAAGGGUUUCUCGAUGAUAGCCACACUAAUGACAAAACUACUUCAGAAAGAUGUUGAGUUUGAAUGGACAGAAAAGUGUCAGAAAAGUUUCGAUCAAUUGAAAACUCAUUUGACGGAAGCUCCAGUACUAGUGCAGCCCGAAUCAGGAAAGGAGUUCGUCAUCUACAGUGAUGCAUCUUUACUUGGGAUGGGUUGUGUAUUGAUGCAAGAAGGUCGAGUUGUAGCUUACGCGUCAAGACAAUUGAAGACACAUGAGAAAAAUUAUCCAACCCAUGACCUCGAAUUAGCUGCCAUCGUAUUCGCUUUGAAAAUAUGGCGACAUUACUUAUUUGGUGAGAAGUGCCAUGUAUUUUCGGAUCACAAAAGUCUCAAAUAUUUGAUGACUCAAAGAGACUUGAAUCUACGACACAGACGUUGGCUCGAGUUGUUAAAAGAUUAUGAGCUUGUCAUUGACUAUCACCCAGGAAAGGCUAAUGUGGUUGCGGAUGCUUUGAGUCAUAAAGCACUGUUUGCUUUACGAGCAAUGAAUGUAAACUUGUCCGUUCUAUCCGACAAUGUGUUAGUAGCGGAAUUAAAGGCUAGACCAUUGUUGAUUCAUCAAAUUCGUGAAGCUCAGAAAGUUGAUGAUGAAUUAGUUGCAAAACGGGCUAAACGUGUUUCGAAUAUGGAAUCAGAGUUUCAAAUUGAUGAUGACGAUUGUUUGAGGUUCAGAAGUCGUUUGUGUGUUCCAAGAAAUUCAGAACUUAUUUCGACGAUUCUGAAUGAAGCUCAUUGUAGCCGAAUGUCAAUUCACCCGGGGAGUACGAAAAUGUAGAACGACCUGAGACGUCAGUUUUGGUGGCAUGGUAUGAAACAAGACAUUUCCGAUUUUGUUUCGAAGUGUUUAAUAUGCCAACAAGUGAAAGCGGAACAUCAAGUGCCUACAGGUUUACUUCAGCCGAUCAUGAUAACUGAAUGGAAAUUGGAACGAAUCACGAUGGACUUUGUAUCUGGGUUACCAUUCUCGGCGAGUAAGAAAGAUGCGAUUUGGGUUGUUGUUGAUAGACUGACUAAGUCGGCUCAUUUUAUUCCCGUACGUACGGAUUAUUCAUUGGAUAAACUAGCUGAAUUGUAUGUUUCUCAGAUUGUGAGAUUACACGGGGUACCCAUUUCUAUUGUGUCGGAUAGAGAUCCGAGAUUCACCUCGCGAUUUUGGAAGAAAUUGCAAGAAGCUUUGGGUACCAAGUUGCAUUUUAGCACCGCUUUUCAUCCCCAAACCGAUGGUCAAUCCGAGCGGAUAAUUCAGAUACUCGAGGAUAUGUUAAGAUGUUGCAUCCUUGAGUUUAGUGGUUCACGGGAACGGUAUUUACCUUUGAUUGAAUUCGCUUACAACAAUAGUUUUCAAUCAAGUAUUAAGAUGGCACCUUACGAGGCUUUGUACGGUCGUAAAUGCCGUACACCAUUGCUUUGGACCGAGCUCGGUGAAAGUAAAAUUUUCGGGGUUGAUUUAAUUAAAGAUGCUGAGCGGAAAGUAAAAAUAAUUCGUGAAAGUCUGAAGGCAGCAUCCAAUCGUCAGAAGUCGUACGCGGAUUUAAAACGAAGAGAUAUUGAGUAUCAGGUGGGAGACAAAGUGUUUCUUAAGGUUUCACCUUGGAAAGAGAUACUCAGAUUUGGCCGUAAGGGCAAACUGAGUCCAAGAUUCAUUGGGCCAUAUGAAAUCUCCGAACGAGUUGGUCCAGUUGCAUAUAGGUUACUUUUACCCCCUGAACUUGAAAGGAUUCACAACGUUUUUCAUGUUUCGAUGCUUCGGCGUUACAGAUCUGAUCCUUCGCACAUAAUUAGUCUAUCAGAGGUCGAAAUACAAUCUGACUUGAGUUAUGAAGAAGAACCGAUUCGUAUCCUAGCUUGUGAAGUGAAAGAGUUGCGAAACAAAAAGGUUCCUUUAGUAAAAGUGUUAUGGCUCAAACACGGGAGGGAAGAAGCUACCUGGGAACCCAAGAACUCUAUGAAAGAACGAUACCCAAACCUAUUUACCGGUAAGAUUUUCGGGGACGAAAAUUUCUUAAAGUGUGGGAGAGUUGUGACAGCCCUAAAUUGACCCUAGUCGGGAAGUGGUUUAAGGACCGCUAAACCGAGUCACCGAAGUAUUUGAAUGUGAUAUUUAUUGUUUAGAAUAUGUGAAUAUGAAUGUGUGAAAGUUUUAAGCUUCGAUUUAGUCGAUUACAUGUGAAUUUAGUUAAUAGGACUUAUGUGAGAAAAUUUAGAAAUGUGCUAGGCAAAUGUAAGUGGCCUAUUAAUGCAUGUUAUAAAGAUGAUGGGUUUGCAUGUCAAAUUACCCAAAAUUUGAACUAGUGGCCGGCCAUGCUAUGGGUUAAAAGGUAUUAUAAACAUUUUAUGUUAGUGUUUUAUGUUAGGAAUAAUAAAAUAAGGAGCAUGGGUGAUGAAAAAAAAAAGAGAAAAAAAAAGUUCUCAUUUUGCUCUUAUUGACCGAAAAAUCAAAGGAAAGAAAGGAAGAAAGUUUGAAGAGGCUCGGCCAUGCUUGUAACUAGGUUGAGGUAUGUUUGAUGUUAUUCCAUGAAAUUCAUGCAUAUUUUUAGUUGUUAGCUUGAAUUCUAGCUAGCCCAUGGUUUAAAUCUUUGCUAUGUGAUGGAGAUGAUACUCGGCCAUGGAUGUUGUCCUUCUUGGUUGGUGUUUGAUGUUGUGUUGAUGAGGUAUGAAGAUGAUAGAGUUUGAGUGCUCAACAAAAAGGAUUGGAUGUGAGUGUGUGUGAGAAUUUGAAAAAGGUAGGUCUUAGCAACUUCAUGAAGCAUUUGGCCAUGGUAGGAAGUAGAAGAGAAAUAUAGUUGUUGUUCAUGUUAGAUGAAGUAGAGUCUAACAAAUGAGCACAUAUGUGCAUUAGUUGCUAGAUGGAGAAAAAUCGGCUAGCAAGUUAUGUACUAAGGCCGAAUGUGACUUUGAAUAUUAUUGAGUAAUGUAUGUGUUUUGAAAUGAUGGAAUGGAGAGGAUGCUUUAAUUGUGUUAUGAACAAUUAUAUGUUAAAUUAAGGGUUGCUAAGCUAGCUAUUAAGGUGAAGUGCAAAUGUUAGUAUUUGAGUACUAGUGUAUAUAUGUGUUUUAGCCGAGCUUUGAACUUGAAACAAAAUGGUAAUUAGUCAAUACAAGUGACCAUAUUUGUAGACUGUAUUAAGUAUACAAUCGGCCUCAACAUAGACAUGCAUAUUCGGCCACAUGAAUGAAUACAUAGAUUGAUGUUGUACAUUCGGCUAUAGGUAAGCAUAUUGAUGGCUUUAUCUUGACUUAGAAAAUCGGCUAAAGGAGAAUAUUGGCUAAUAUGUUGAAUUUGAUUCAUGAUUUCAUACACAUAUGACUCUAAUGCCUAAUAUACAUGGGCUAAGUACCUUGAGUUUCUCUUUGAUGUUCAAAAUGAUUAAAUCAAUUUAUUUGUUAAAUUAAGCUCAAGAACAAAGGGGAACUAAAUCCGAUAAAGGAAAGGAAAAGGUGAUCGAAUAGCCGUUGAAAUCGUUCGACAACAUCCGAGGUAAGUUUUCGAGUAAUGGAACUUAGAUUAUGAUUCGAUUAGAUCAUGUUAUAAGCAAAUCAAAAUCAUGCUCUUUGUAUGUAGCUAUUGAGCCGAAAAUGAUAAUGCUUGAUAAGUGACUUGUGUUUGAAUUCUAGUUAUGAAAAUGAAAUAUAGAUGUGUCAUGAUUUAUUGAUAUGUGCAUGAAUAUUCGGAUGAUAACCGGGUUAAGUCCCGAAGGCAUUUGUGCUAGUGAGUAAUUCCGGGCUAAGCCCUGAAGGCAUUUGUGCUAGUGACUAAUUCCGGGCUAAGCCCCGAAGGCAUUUGUGCGAGUUACUAUAUCCGGGCUAAGUCCCGAAGGCAUUUGUGCGAGUUACUAUAACCGGGCUAAGUCCCGAAGCCAUUUGAGCGAGUAGCUAUAUCCGGCUAAAUCCCGAAGGUACUUGGUUUGGGAAUGAGCAAUCUUGCUGUAAUAAUUUCAAUUAAUACGCUCGUAAAAUCCCAACGAUGAGGUAUGUUUCAUAUAUGCAUUGGAAUAGUUGAUUCCUUUUAAAUAGUAUUCCCUCAGUCGAUUAAUAAGCUUCCGGCCUUUGGUUAAGUUGAUCCCUUAUGUAUGAAUAUAAGGGUUGGAAAUGUGAAGUAGGUAUGAUUUUGAGAAUAUGUGUAUAUGAAAUUAUCCGUUUAGUCAUAUGAAUGCUAUACUUCAGUUGUGCCUAAUUUCAUUGCUCAAAACUUACUAAGCAUUAAAUGCUGAUUCUGUUUCUUUGAUUCUCUGUUUUAUAGAUUUUGGUUCGUCAGCUAUCAGACUCGGGAGUGUCAAAGUCGAAGUCGCCCACACUAUCAAAGCCCUUUUGGUACUUCUUUAGUUGAACUCUGAUAAUGGCAUGUAUAGGGCUGCCCUUUUGUUGUUAGUCAAGUACUUUGGUAUUGUAUAUAUUUGGAUAGCCAUGCGAAAAUGGCUUAUAUAUUUUGAGCAUAGCGUUAUAAUCAUUUUGUAUAUAUAUGGUUAUUGAGAGGUGUGGAAAUGCUUGGCAAUGAUUAGCCAUUGGAAUGGUGAAUUACGAUCAUAUUUUUGUGCUAUGUAUGUUAAAGGGCUAGUUGAAUCAUGGAAAUUAUGAAAUAGGUAAAGUCUACCUUAAAAACAGAUACCGACAGUAGUAGUGAUGUGAAUAUGAAAAAUCACUAAAAAUAGUAGGAAUAGAAUUAAAUUGUGAAUAAAUUAUGUAAUCUAACCUUGAUGAAUCUAUUUUCAUAUUAAAGUAACGAAACGAUCAUAUGAGCCGUAUUUCAUGCGAUGUUUAAGUUUUCGUGAAAUAGGGCCAGAGUGAAUUCUGGAUUCCCUGUUCUGACUUUGGAAGAUCAUUAUAAAUUAACCAGAGAUAAUUAUAAGUCAUACUAUAUAUGUAUAGAUUCCUUUUCGAGUCUAGUUUCUUUAUAAACAAACGGAAUAAGUAUUGAAGCCCUGUACAGGGAGAUAUCUAAGUCGUAAUGCAUAAAGGUCAGAGUAGUCAAACCCUGAAACAGGGGAGACUUUAACUAAUAAACUGUACUAAUUGGCUUGACCAAAAAUUCUAGAAAAAUAUUUGUUGAUUUCCAUAUGAGUCUAGUUUCAGGAAAAAUUUACAGAACUGGUUUUCGAGUUUUGGAACUUGAGAUAUGAUUUUUAAGGUGAAAGUGACGCAGUUAGCCAGCUUGUCUGGAAAUUUUAAAAUGGACUGUGUAAAUAAAUGAAUUAAGUCUGUUUGCACCUCGUGUUCGACUCCGGAAACGGUCUCGGGUACGGGGUGUUACAAUUUUAUUUGUAUCAGAGCUACGGUUUAGUCGAUUCUAGGACUACCGUAAUACGUUUGGGUCUAGCUAUACAUGCCAUUAUGUGAUUAUUUGAUAGUGUGGUGAUUUCUGACAAUUGAAAAUGUGUUUAUUUAUAGUAAUGGAUCCUGAUCCCAACCGAGUAGUAGCUGAUGAUCUUGAGAGUGUAGCGCCUGCUCCCGCACUAGGGACAGCACCGGUGGACUCUCAACCUAUUGCUAGUAAUCCGAAUGAUGAAGCUAGACAAGCUUUCUAUAGCGUGAUGAAUGAUUGGUUCAACCAAUACAUUCGAACUAAAACGGCUGUUCCACAACCCCCAUUCCCGACUAAUACAACCCCCGCACCUACAAUACCUCCGGUAACUGACCAAAUAAGGUCAAAUAAGCCCCCAGUUGACAGAAUCCGAAAACACGGGGCUACUAAAUUUAAAGCUACGGACAGCGAUGAUGCCGAGCAAGCUAAAUUUUGGUUGGACAACACUAUUCGGGUACUCGAUGAGCUAUCUUGCACACCCGAUGAGUGCCUAAAGUGUACUAUCUCCUUGCUACGUGAUUCUGCCUACUAUUGGUGGAAUACGUUGAUUUCUGUCGUGCCCAGAGAGCAAGUAACUUGGGAGUUUUUCCAAACCGAGUUUCGAAAAAAGUAUAUCAGUCAGAGAUUCAUUGAUCAAAAAUGGAAAGAAUUUCUUGAACUUAAACAGGGUUCCAUGUUGGUUACCGACUAUGAACGAAUGUUUGUAAGGCUCAGCCGGUACGCGCGAGAAUGCAUUUCUUCAGAAACUGUGAUGUGUAAACGUUUCGAAGAUGGACUGAACGAUGAUAUAAAGCUAUAUGUUGGCAUUUUAGAAAUCUGAGAAUUUGUGGUACUUGUCGAGCGAGCUUGCAAAGCCGAGGAGCUCAGUAUGGAGAAAAGAAAAGCUGAUAUGGGAGUAAAGGAGCUUCGUAAGAGGUCUUCGGGGAGGCCUUUUCAACAGUUAUCGAAGAAAGUUAGAGAUGGUUUAGGCCGAUCUAGAGACACUUCAGGCUUUUCUAGACGAGAUCGUGAUCGACCCCCUAUGAGUGCACGAGUCACUUCGGUCGCCAGUGUUGGAAAUGAUCGUCGAGACAGAACGGAGUGUCAGUAUUGUGGUAAAUGGAAUUUGGGGAGUUGUAGAUUCCAUGACCGCUCCUGUUACAAGUGCGGAUCAGCUGACCACUUUAUUAAAGAUUGCCUGAGAUUGUCUGAACAGAAUGUAAAUCAGAAUGGGAAACCUGGUGCUACUACUACUCGGGGUAGACCAUCUAGAAAUACGGGCAAUGCUAGUGGCGGUUAGAGAGGAUCUAGAGAUGCUACAACCAGAUCUGAGGCUCGUGCUCCUGCUAGAGCUUAUGCUAUACGCGCACGCGAGGAUGCUUCCUCGCCAGAUGUUAUUACCGGUACUUUUACUCUCUUUGAUACUAAUGUGAUUGCUUUGAUUAAACCUGGUUCUACUCAUUCUUAUAUAUGUGAAACCUUAGCAUCCAGUAAGACUUUACCUGUUGAGUCUACUGAGUUCGUAAUUCGGGUGUCAAAUCCCUUGGGUCGUUACGUGCUUGUCGACAAAGUGUGUAAGAAAUGUCCCCUAGUAAUCCGAGGUUCCUAUUUUCCAGCCGAUUUGAUGCUUUUACCGUUUGAUGAAUUUGAUGUUAUCCUCGGUAUGGAUUGGAUGACCGUACAUGAUGCAAUUGUAAAUUGCAAAAGAAAAACCAUCGAUUUGAGGUGUGUAAAUAACGAGAUAAUCCGAGUUGAGUCUACUGACUUAAAUAGGUUGCCAGCUGUAAUAUCAUCGAUGUUGACUUAGAAAUAUGUAAGAAAGGGGUGUGAAGCAUACCUUGCAUAUGUACUUGAUGACAAAGGGUUAGAAAAGAAGCCUGAAUCUGUGCCGGUGGUUUGUGAAUAUCUGGAUGUUUUUCCCGAAGAAUUACCGGGUUUACCACCUGUUCGGGAGGUAGAGUUUGGCAUCAAGCUUGUACCUGGGAUUACACCGAUUUCAAUAGCUCCGUAUCGUAUGGCACCAACAGAAUUAAAGGAAUUGAAAGCUCAGUUGCAAGAGUUGAUGGAUAGAGGUUUCGCUCGACCAAGUUUCUCACCUUGGGGUGUACCAGUAUUGUUUGUGGAAAAGAAGGACAGAACCAUGAGGUUGUGCAUCGACUAUCGUCUGCUGAAUAAGGUGACAAUAAAGAAUAAAUAUCCGAUACCGCGCAUUGACGAUUUAUUUGAUCAACUAAAGGGAGCCUCAGUGUUUUCAAAGAUAGAUUUGAGAUCGGGUUAUUAUCAGUUGCGAAUCCGAGAUUCGGAUAUACCCAAAACUACUUUCAGAACGAGAUACGGUCACUACGAAUUCUUAGUGAUGCCGUUUGGGCUCACUAAUGCCCCCGCGGUAUUUAUGGAUUUGAUUAACUGGAUCUUCAGACAGUAUUUGGACCGGUUUGUAGUUGUGUUUAUUGAUGACAUCUUAGCCUAUUCAAGAGAUAAGACGGAACAUGCUGAGCACCUGAGAUUAGUGUUGCGGAUUUUACGGGAUAAGCAGUUAUAUGCUAAGUUCAGUAAGUGCGAGUUCUGGUUAAGAGAGGUUAGCUUCUUGGGUCAUGUGGUGUCUGCAUCGGGCAUCCGAGUUGAUCCGAGCAAAAUUUCAGCCAUACUUAACUGGAAGCCUCCGAGAAAUAUUACUGAGGUUCGGAGCUUUUUGGGACUUGCCGGUUACUACAGACGGUUUGUAAAGGGUUUCUCGAUGAUAGCCACACUAAUGACAAAACUACUUCAGAAAGAUGUUGAGUUUGAAUGGACAGAAAAGUGUCAGAAAAGUUUCGAUCAAUUGAAAACUCAUUUGACGGAAGCUCCAGUACUAGUGCAGCCCGAAUCAGGCAAGGAGUUCGUCAUCUACAGUGAUGCAUCUUUACUUGGGUUGGGUUGUGUAUUGAUGCAAGAAGGUCGAGUUGUAGCUUACGCGUCAAGACAAUUGAAGACACAUGAGAAAAAUUAUCCAACCCAUGAUCUCGAAUUAGCUGCCAUCGUAUUCACUUUGAAAAUAUGGCGACAUUACUUAUUUGGUGAGAAGUGCCAUGUAUUUUUGGAUCACAAAAGUCUCAAAUAUUUGAUGACUCAAAGAGACUUGAAUCUACGACAAAGAUGUUGGCUCGAAUUGUUAAAAGAUUAUGAGCUUGUCAUUGACUAUCACCCAGGAAAGGCUAAUGUGGUUGCGAAUGCUUUGAGUCAUAAAGCACUGUUUGCUUUACGAGCGAUGAAUGUAAACUUGUCCGUUCUAUCCGACAAUGUGUUAGUAGCGGAAUUAAAGGCUAGACCAUUGUUGAUUCAUCAAAUUCGUGAAGCUCAGAAAGUUGAUGAUGAAUUAGUUGCAAAACGGGCUGAACGUGUUUCGAAUAUGGAAUCAGAGUUUCAAAUUGAUGGUGACGAUUUUUUGAGGUUCAGAAGUCGUUUGUGUGUUCCAAGAAAUUCAGAACUUAUUUCAACGAUUCUGAAUGAAGCUCAUUGUAGCCGAAUGUCAAUUCACCCGGGGAGUACGAAAAUGUACAACGACCUGAGACGUCAGUUUUGGUGGCAUGGUAUGAAACGAGACAUUUCCGAUUUUGUUUCGAAGUGUUUAAUAUGCCAACAAGUGAAAGCGGAACAUCAAGUGCCUACAGGUUUACUUCAGCCGAUCAUGAUACCUGAAUGGAAAUGGGAACGAAUCACGAUGGACUUUGUAUCUGGGUUACCAUUGUCGGCGAGUAAGAAAGAUGCGAUUUGGGUUGUUGUUGAUAGACUGACUAAGUCGGCUCAUUUUAUUCCCGUACGUACGGAUUAUAUAUUGGAUAAACUAGCUGAAUUGUAUGUUUCUCAGAUUGUGAGAUUACACGGGGUACCCAUUUCUAUUGUGUCGGAUAGAGAUCCGAGAUUCACCUCGCGAUUUUGGAAGAAAUUGCAAGAAGCUUUGGGUACCAAGUUGCAUUUUAGCUCCGCUUUUCAUCCCUAAACCGAUGGUCAAUCCGAGCGGAUAAUUGAGAUACUCGAGGAUAUGUUAAGAUGUUGCAUCCUUGAGUUUAGUGGUUCACGGGAACGGUAUUUACCUUUGAUUGAAUUCGCUUACAACAAUAGUUUUCAAUCAAGUAUUAAGAUGGCACCUUACGAGGCUUUGUACGGUCGUAAAUGCCGUACACCAUUGUUUUGGACCGAGCUCGGUGAAAGUAAAAUUUUCGGGGUUGAUUUAAUUAAAGAUGCUGAGUGGAAAGUAAAAAUAAUUCGUGAAAGUCUGAAGGCAGCAUCCAAUCGUCAGAAGUCGUACGCGGAUUUAAAACGAAGAGAUAUUGAGUAUCAGGUGGGAGACAAAGUGUUUCUUAAGGUUUCACCUUGGAAAAAGAUACUCAGAUUUGGCCGUAAGGGCAAACUGAGUCCAAGAUUCAUUGGGCCAUAUGAAAUCUCCGAACGAGUUGGUCCAGUUGCAUAUAGGUUACUUUUACCCCCUGAACUUGAAAGGAUUAACAACGUUUUUCAUGUUUCGAUGCUUCGACGUUACAGAUCUGAUCCUUCGCACAUAAUUAGUCCAUCAGAGGUCGAAAUUCAAUCUGACUUGAGUUAUGAAGAAGAACCGAUUCGUAUCCUAGCUCAUGAAGUGAAAGAGUUGCGAAACAAAAAGGUUCAUUUAGUAAAAGUGUUAUGGCUCAAACACGGGAGGGAAGAAGCUACUUGGGAACCCAAGAACUCUAUGAAAGAACGAUACCCAAACCUAUUUACCGGUAAGAUUUUCGGGGACGAAAAUUUCUUAAAGUGGGGGAGAGUUGUGACAGCCCUAAAUUGACCCUAGUCGGGAAGUGGUUUCGGGACCGCUAAACCGAGUCACCGAAGUAUUUGAAUGUGAUAUUUAUUGUCUAAAAUAUGUGAAUAUGAAUGUGUGAAAGUUUUAAGCUUCGAUUUAGUCGAUUGCAUGUGAAUUUAGUUAAUAGGACUUAUGUAAGAAAAUUUAGAAAUGUGCUAGGCAAAUGUAAGUGGCCUAUUAAUGCAUGUUAUAAAGAUGAUGGGUUUGCAUGUCAAAUUACCCAAAAUUUGAACUAGUGGCCGGCCAUGCUAUGGGUUAAAAGGUAUUAUAAACAUUUUAUGUUAGUGUUUUAUGUUAGGAAUAAUAAAAUAAGGAGCAUGGGUGAUGAAAAAAAAAAGAGAAAAAAAAAGUUCUCAUUUUGCUCUUAUUGACCGAAAAAUCAAAGGAAAGAAAGGAAGAAAGGUUGAAGAGGUUCGGUCAUGCUUGUAACUAGGUUGAGGUAUGUUUGAUGUUAUUCCAUGAAAUCCAUGCAUAUUUUUAGUUGUUAGCUUGAAUUCUAGCUAGCCCAUGGUUUAAAUCUUUGCUAUGUGAUGGAGAUGAUACUCGGCCAUGGAUGUUGUCCUUCUUGGUUGGUGUUUGAUGUUGUGUUGAUGAGGUAUGAAGAUGAUAGAGUUUGAGUGCUCAACAAAAAGGAUUGGAUGUAAGUGUGUGUGAGAAUUUGAAAAAGGUAGGUCUUAGCAACUUCAUGAAGCAUUUGGCCAUGGUAGGAAGUAGAAGAGAAAUAUAGUUGUUGUUCAUGUUAGAUGAAGUAGAGUCUAACAAAUGAGCACAUAUGUGCAUUAGUUGCUAGAUGGAGAAAAAUAGGCUAGCAAGUUGUGUACUAAGGCCGAAUGUGACUUUGAAUAUUAUUGAGUAAUGUAUGUGUUUUGAAAUGAUGGAAUGGAGAGGAUGCUUUAAUUGUGUUAUGAACAAUUAUAUGUUAAAUUAAGGGUUGCUAAGCUAGCUAUUAAGGUGAAGUGCAAAUGUUAGUAUUUGAGUACUAGUGUAUAUAUGUGUUUUAGCCGAGCUUUGAACUUGAAACAAAAUGGUAAUUAGUCAAUACAAGUGACCAUAUUUGUAGACUGUAUUAAGUAUACAAUCGGCCUCAACAUAGACAUGCAUAUUCGGCCACAUGAAUGAAUACAUAGAUUGAUGUUGCACGUUCGGCUAUAGGUAAGCAUAUUGAUGGCUUUAUCUUGACUUAGAAAAUCGGCUAAAAGAGAAUAUUGGCUAAUAUGUUGAAUUUGAUUCAUGAUUUCAUACACAUAUGACUCUAAUGCCUAAUAUACAUGGGCUAAGUACCUUGAGUUUCUCUUUAAUGUUCAAAAUGAUUAAAUCAAUUUAUUUGUUAAAUUAAGCUCAAGAACAAAGGGGAACUAAAUCUGAUAAAGGAAAGGAAAAGGUGAUCGAAUAGCCGUUGAAAUUGUUCGACAACAUCCGAGGUAAGUUUUCGAGUAAUGGAACUUAGAUUAUGAUUCGAUUAGAUCAUGUUAUAAGCAAAUCAAAAUCAUGCUCUUUGUAUGUAGCUAUUGAGCCGAAAAUGAUAAUGCUUGAUAAGUGACUUGUGUUUGAAUUCUAGUUAUGAAAAUGAAAUAUAGAUGUGUCAUGAUUUAUUGAUAUGUGCAUGAAUAUUCGGAUGAUAACCGGGCUAAGUCCUGAAGGCAUUUGUGCUAGUGACUAAUUCCGGGCUAAGCCCCGAAGGCAUUUGUGCUAGUGACUAAUUCCGGGCUAAGCCCCGAAGGCAUUUGUGCGAGUUACUAUAUCCGGGCUAAGUCCCGAAGGCAUUUGUGCGAGUUACUAUAACCGGGCUAAGUCCCGAAGGCAUUUGAGCGAGUAGCUAUAUCCGGCUAAAUCCCGAAGGUACUUGGUUUGGGAAUGAGCAAUCUUGCUGUAAUAAUUUCAAUUAAUACGCUCGUAAAAUCCCAACGAUGAGGUAUGUUUCGUAUAUGCAUUGGAAUAGUUGAUUCGUUUUAAAUAGUAUUCCCUCAGUCGAUUAAUAAGCUUCCGGCCUUUGGUUAAGUUGAUCCCUUAUGUAUGAAUAUAAGGGUUGGAAAUGUGAAGUAGGUAUGAUUUUGAGAAUAUGUGUAUAUGAAAUUAUCCGUUUAGUCAUAUGAAUGCUAUACUUCAGUUGUGCCUAAUUUCAUUGCUCAAAACUUACUAAGCAUUAAAUGCUGAUUCCGUUUCUUUGAUUCUCUGUUUUAUAGAUUUUGGUUCGUCAGCUAUCAGACUCGGGAGUGUCAAAGUCGAAGUCGCCCACACUAUCAAAGCCCUUUUGGUACUUCUUUAGUUGAACUCUGAUAAUGGCAUGUAUAGGGCUGCCCUUUUGUUGUUAGUCAAGUACUUUGGUAUUGUAUAUAUUUGGAUAGCCAUGCGAAAAUGGCUUAUAUAUUUUGAGCAUAGCGUUAUAAUCAUUUUGUAUAUAUAUGGUUAUUGAGAGGUGUGGAAAUGCUUGGCAAUGAUUAGCCAUUGGAAUGGUGAAUUACGAUCAUAUUUUUGUGCUAUGUAUGUUAAAGGGCUAGUUGAAUCAUGGAAAUUAUGAAAUAGGUAAAGUCUACCUUAAAAACAGAUACCGACAGCAGCAGUGAUGUGAAUAUGAAAAAUCACUAAAAAUAGUAGGAAUAGAAUUAAAUUGUGAAUAAAUUAUGUAAUUGAACCUUGAUGAAUCUAUUUUCAUAUGAAAGUAACAAAACGAUCAUAUGAGCCGUAUUUUAUGAGAUGUUUAAGUUUUCGUGAAAUAGGGCUAGAGCGAAUUCUGGAUUCCCUGUUCUGACUUUGGAAAAUCAUUAUAAAUUAACCAGAGAUAAUUAGAAGUCAUACCAUAUAUGUAUAGAUUCAUUUUCUAGUCUAGUUUCUUUAUAAAUAAACGGAAUAAGUAUUGAAGCCCUGUACAAGGAGAUAUCUAAGUCGUAAUGCAUGAAGGUCAGAGUAGUCGAACCCUAAAAUAGGGCAGACUUUAACUAAUAAAAUGUACUAAUUGGCUUGACGAAAAAUUCUAGAAAAAAAUUUGUAGAUGGAAAUAUGAGUUUAGUUUCAGGAAAAAUUUACGAAACUGGUUUUUGAGUUUUGGAACUUGAGAUAUUAUUUUUAAGGUGAUAGUGACGCAGUUAGCCAGCUUGUCUGGAAAUUUUAAAAUGGACUGUGCAAAUAAAUGAAUUAAGUCUGUUUGCACCUCGUGUUCGACUCCGGAAACGGUCUCGGGUACGGGGUGUUACAGAAGCUGUGCACCAGGUAGGAAACCGGAAAAGAGGUGGUGAGUCCAUCGGACUGCUUAAAUACCAAGCUCCCUUCGGAUCCAAUCCUAGACAUGCAUACCGCCAUUGCCACACCUUAACGUCAUGGAUAUUUCUAGGAAACCGAUUUGAUUAAGUCAUUUUUAGGAAAAGUGAUUAAUUUUGGAAAAAUACUUUCAUUGCGGAAGCUUUGCUUGUUGUCGUGUUAUUUUGAAAUCAACUGUUGUUUUUAAAAACGUGCCCUAAAGCUAUCCAAUUUCAACAGUUAAAAUAAGUAAUACCUAUCUUAGUAAUACAUAUUAAAACCAUCAAAAAUAAUUAAGCGGCCUUAUUACAUUUAAAAACCCAAAACUUCAAAUGUAAAUAAAAGGAUGUCCAGUUCACCAGAAGAAAAUCAAACUUUCAGAACGGGUGGCCACUCCGAAUUCCCUCACAGCUCCAAGCCCACUAUGGUUGGGGAUUUCCUGCGUGGAUGAAAAUAAAAGGGGUGAGUUUGGGGAAACUCAGUGUGUAAGGAAAACCCAUUCAAAGCCCAAGUCAGCUCAAGCCUAUUGGGCCUAAGCCCAUUCAGGUAACAGUGGUACUGGGCCAGAGCCCUUUUCAGAUUACAAUAAACUGGGCCUUAGCCCCUUAUUCAGAUAACAGUAUGGCCCAUAGGCCCAUUUCAAAAUACAUGCAACAUCAAUAAACAUAUGCAAGCCCAUUUGGGGAGACUACUCAACCCACCAACCACUACACUCCACCCGUACCAGCCAUACACUCCAUGUGGGGAAUAGCUCAACCCACCCAGCCCAACACUCCACAGUUGCAGCCUUGCUGCUCAGUUAACAAUAAAUUGAGGCAAAGCCUCCAGUACGUGGACAAGCCACUUUCAGUACUUCCUCCGUCAAUAUCCCAGUCCCAUGCAUCAGAUAAUAACAACAUGGCAUGCAGUAAAUAACAACAGUCAAACAUGCAUUUAGGUCAAUUUAACCCUAGGGGUAUUUCGGUAAUUUAUCUCUUAGGGGUAAAACUGUAAAUUUUCCACUUUUAAAGGUAUUUCAGUAAUUUAUCUAUUUUAGGGAUUUUCAUGCAUAUUCCUACUUUUCACGUACUAACAGAAUCACGUACCGAGGGUUCUUACCGGAUUGGGCCCAUUGGCCCAUCAUUCCAAUUUUGGCCCAUUAAGCCCAAAAAUAUCGAGGGCACAGAAAUCAUGCACUUUGCAGUCUAAACAUUGCAGCUUACCAAAAACAUUAAUCGAUUUACCUCACGAGCAUUCGCACACUCGCAAAUCUACAAAAUACCGGUUUUCGGCAUUUCGGCUUUUCAGCUUUUGCCGAUCUAGACUAAGAAAGAGGGUGUUAGUUACACACCUGUUUGCGACAAUAUGCUGACGAGAUCCACACACGAACCGCCUACAAUUGGAUUACUAACACGUUAAUCUAACUAUUCAAAUACAAACUACGUAUUAACCCCUUACAAUAUUCGGCCAACCACACCUACAGAUCAUAGUAAGCUUAUAAGAAAUCAAUAAGCAACUCAUUAACAAAUUUUUGUCAAUGUUUACCACAUAAUCAUAAUUUCACUGCAAGCUGUCUUCCUGAGCAAUAGUCACUAAAUUAUUUAUAACUGGAGCUACGAAAAUCCAAAUCAAGUUCCGUUAAUUUUCCCUGAAAAUAGACUCAUAUAUCUUCUAUCCAUAAAAUUUUCAGAAUUUUUGGUUUAGCCAAUCAAUACCAGAUUUUUCUCAAAGUUUCCCAUGUUUCACUGUUUGACUAAUCUGACCACUCUUCAUUACGAAUCAAAUUUCUCAUUGUACAGAAUUCAAAAUAUGUUCUUGUUUAUUUUAUUUGAAACUAGACUCAUUAAGAUUUAAUUACAUAAUUUAUUCAUCUCCUAAUUCAUCUCCCACAAUUUAUGGUGAUUUUCCAAAGUCAUGUUACUGCUGCUGUCCCAAGCAGAUUUAUUACCAAAUCACUCUUUCACACACCUAUCUUGCAUGCUUAUUAUUUAAAAAUGUAUAUCACCAAUAAAUCAUCACAUAUCUAUGAUUUUACUUAAGUAUAAUCUCCAUUUCAUCAUUUUAAAGCACAACAUGUUAGCCGAUUUUUCCCUUUAGCAUCUAAGGCACAUGCAUGCUCAUUUGUUUGGCUCAACUUCACCUAUCUUCCAUUUUUCAUCAAAAGAACAUGAAACAACAACCAUUUCCUUCAUUUUAAUUCAUGACUAAAUGCUCACAACACAACUAAAAACCAAAAUAUGCUUCAAGAGUUAAGGUAGAAUCAAGAAGAACUCAUGAACCUCAAAAUAGAAGUAAGGUACCAGCAACUUACCUUCAAUUUUCCUCCUCCUAAUGACCGAAUACUCAAGAGCUUUCUCCUCUCCUUUCUCUU
rnacentral:lncRNA from 1 species